CAACUCGCCUACAUGAAGUCGGAAUCGCUAGUAAUCGCGGAUCAGCAUGCCGCGGUGAAUACGUUCCCGGGCCUUGUACACACCGCCGUCACACCAUGAGAGUUUGUAACACCCAAGCCGGUGGGGUAACCUUUUGGAGCCAGCCGUCUAGGGUGGGACAGAUGAUUGGGGUGAAGUCGUAACAAGGUACC
rnacentral:rRNA from 1 species